rnacentral:rRNA from 1 species
GACGAACGCUGGCGGCGUGCUUAACACAUGCAAGUCGAACGAAGAGCGAUGGAAGCUUGCUUCUAUCAAUCUUAGUGGCGAACGGGUGAGUAACGCGUAAUCAACCUGCCCUUCAGAGGGGGACAACAGUUGGAAACGACUGCUAAUACCGCAUACGAUCUAAUCUCGGCAUCGAGGAUAGAUGAAAGGUGGCCUCUACAUGUAAGCUAUCACUGAAGGAGGGGAUUGCGUCUGAUUAGCUAGUUGGAGGUGUAACGGCCCACCAAGGCGAUGAUCAGUAGCCGGUCUGAGAGGAUGAACGGCCACAUUGGGACGGAGACACGGCCCAGACUCCUACGGGAGGCAGCAGUGGGGAAUCUUCCGCAAUGGACGAGAGUCUGACGGAGCAACGCCGCGUGAGUGAUGACGGCCUUCGGGUUGUAAAGCUCUGUUAAUCGGGACGAAAGGCCUUCUUGCGAAUAGUGAGAAGGAUUGACGGUACCGGAAUAGAAAGCCACGGCUAACUACGUG